rnacentral:rRNA from 1 species
UGGGGAAUCUUGCGCAAUGGGCGAAAGCCUGACGCAGCGACGCCGCGUGAGCGAUGAAGGCCUUCGGGUUGUAAAGCUCUGCGGGGAGGAAAGAAUAAGGGUUGGCUAAUAUCCAGCUCGAUGACGGUACCUCCUUAGCAAGCACCGGCUAACUCUGUGCCAGCAGCCGCGGUAAGACGAAGGGGGCUAGCGUUGUUCGGAAUUACUGGGCGUAAAGCGCACGUAGGCGGCCUUUCAAGUCAGAUGUGAAAGCCCCGAGCUUAACUCGGGAAAUGCAUUUGAUACUGUUGGGCUAGAGACCGGGAGAGGAUAGCGGAAUUCCCAGUGUAGAGGUGAAAUUCGUAGAUAUUGGGAAGAACACCAGUGGCGAAGGCGGCUAUCUGGACCGGUACCGACGCUGAGGUGCGAAAGCGUGGGGAGCAAA